UAGGGAAUCUUCCGCAAUGGGCGCAAGUCUGACGGAGCAACGCCGCGUGAGUGAAGAAGGAUUUCGGUUCGUAAAACUCUGUUGUUAGAGAAGAACAGCGCAUAGAGUAACUGUUAUGCGUGUGACGGUAUCUAACCAGAAAGCCACGGCUAACUACGUGCCAGCAGCCGCGGUAAUACGUAGGUGGCAAGCGUUGUCCGGAUUUAUUGGGCGUAAAGCGAGCGCAGGCGGUCAAUUAAGUCUGAUGUGAAAGCCCCCGGCUCAACCGGGGAGGGUCAUUGGAAACUGGUUGACUUGAGUGCAGAAGAGGAGAGUGGAAUUCCAUGUGUAGCGGUGAAAUGCGUAGAUAUAUGGAGGAACACCAGUGGCGAAGGCGACUCUCUGGUCUGUAACUGACGCUGAGGCUCGAAAGCGUGGGUAGCAAACAGG
rnacentral:rRNA from 1 species